rnacentral:misc_RNA from 1 species
GUGAAAAUAGUAAUUGCUUGCGCUGUAUUGCAUAAUUUUUUACGUGAACACCAAAGUAGUGAUGGAAUAUUCAAUGAAUAUGAACAUGAUGAUAUGGUUGGUGAUGAAAGUGACAAACUAUUGGCUCAGGGUAACAACAUCACUUCAUCUUCUCGAUCAUCUGAUUCGGAUAUGCACGCUCAUCGAGAAGAGAUUGUUUAUAAAAUAUGGGAAGAUUACAUUAAAGAAUAGGUUGAACUCUUUCAGAUGAGAAAACAUAGAUUCUUCAGUGAUUGCAAUAUUU